rnacentral:rRNA from 1 species
UCCGUAGCUGGUCUGAGAGGACGAUCAGCCACACUGGGACUGAGACACGGCCCAGACUCCUACGGGAGGCAGCAGUGGGGAAUAUUGGACAAUGGGCGCAAGCCUGAUCCAGCAAUGCCGCGUGUGUGAAGAAGGCCUGCGGGUUGUAAAGCACUUUCAGUAGAGAAGAAAAGCCUAGGGUUAAUACCCCUGAGUCUUGACGUAACCUACAGAAGAAGCACCGGCUAACUCCGUGCCAGCAGCCGCGGUAAUACGGAGGGUGCGAGCGUUAAUCGGAAUUACUGGGCGUAAAGCGCGCGUAGGCGGUUUGGUCAGUCGAAUGUGAAAGCCCAGGGCUUAACCUUGGAACUGCGUUCGAUACUGCCUGACUAGAGUAUGGUAGAGGGAAGUGGAAUUUCCGGUGUAGCAGUGAAAUGCGUAGAUAUCGGAAGGAACACCAGUGGCGAAGGCGACUUCCUGGGCCAAUACUGACGCUGAGGUGCGAAAGCGUGGGGGGCAAACAGGAUUAGAUACCCUGGUAGUCCACGCCGUAAACGAUGAGAACUAGAUGUCGGGGGGGUUGCCCUUCGGUGUCGCAGCUAACGCGUUAAGUUCUCCGCCUGGGGAGUANCGNCCGGCAACGGUAAAACUCAAAGGAAUUGACGAGGACCCGCACAAGCGGUGGAGCGUGUGGGUUAAUUCGAUGCGACGCGAAGAACCUUACCU